ACGGACUAUAGUGUCGGGAAUG
rnacentral:miRNA from 1 species